rnacentral:rRNA from 1 species
UGGGGAAUCUUGCACAAUGGGGGAAACCCUGAUGCAGCGACGCCGCGUGAAGGAUGAAGUAUUUCGGUAUGUAAACUUCGAAAGAAUAGGAAGAAUAAAUGACGGUACUAUUUAUAAGGUCCGGCUAACUACGUGCCAGCAGCCGCGGUAAUACGUAGGGACCAAGCGUUGUUCGGAUUUACUGGGCGUAAAGGGCGCGUAGGCGGCAUGACAAGUCACUUGUGAAAUCUCUGGGCUUAACCCAGAACGGCCAAGUGAUACUGUCGCGCUAGAGUGCAGAAGAGGCAAUCGGAAUUCUUGGUGUAGCGGUGAAAUGCGUAGAUAUCAAGAGGAACACCUGAGGUGAAGACGGGUUGCUGGGCUGACACUGACGCUGAGGCGCGAAAGCCAGGGGAGCAAACGGGAUUAGAUACCCCCGUAGUCCCUGAGCGGGCUGGCAAGGCGCAU